UACGAAGGGGGCUAGCGUUGUUCGGAUUUACUGGGCGUAAAGCGCACGUAGGCGGAUCGUUAAGUCGGGGGUGAAAUCCUGGAGCUCAACUCCAGAACUGCCUUCGAUACUGGCGAUCUAGAGUCCGGAAGAGGUGAGUGGAACUCCUAGUGUAGAGGUGGAAUUCGUAGAUAUUAGGAAGAACACCAGUGGCGAAGGCGGCUCACUGGCCCGGUACUGACGCUGAGGUGCGAAAGCGUGGGGAGCAAACAGG
rnacentral:rRNA from 1 species